UUGGGAGAACUAUGGAACGGAUGGUGCACUCACGACUGAAUUGGUAUCUCGAGUCUACUCGAUUCAACCGGGCAGUUAUGGCUGGUUUUCGUCAAAGUUGGUCUGUGACGGACAGCAUCAUCGACCUAGUGCGGCGGUGCGUCCGAAGGUCCGAAGCGCUGUUGUCGCGUCACUUCACGAGACCGGCGUGGGAGGUCGCACUCCUCUGGGUUCAGGAUUUCCUCAUUGACAAACAACUUUUGGUACGUAACCAUACCCGUAUCACCCUCUACGCCGACGAUAUUUGCAUAUGGACUUCUGCUAUCCGCCGGGAUACUCUUCAGCGUAGUUUGCAGCAAGCUAUGGACACCACGCUCUCCUAUCUCGCGGAACGCGGUCUCUCCAUUUCGCCAAGUAAGACAACAGCGGUGGUGUUUAUGCGCCGCUCUUUCCACAAAUACCCAAUAUUUGUGGAGGGCUCUGCUCCCACGUCCGCUAUCUUGGCGUGAUAAUUGACCGCAGGCUCACGUGGGCACGGCAAAUUCGGGCGAUUGGUGCAACCACAAAAAAGUUUGUCAAUGCCAUCAGAGUAGUAAUAGGCCUUGUCCAGACUACAGGGUGUACAAACUACAGGAUCCCUGCCCUUGAGCGUAUUUUUCCCUGCGCAGCGCGUUUGCGGAGGCUUGUCCGCGCGCUUAUAACAUGCAGAGACAUGCAAAGAAGGGUCAUACACAAAACGUACGAGUGAAAAUAUAUUUAUUAAUGCCAAUUGUAAUGCCAAUCAAGUUGCGAUAUAUUUAUUAAAGCCAAUUGUGCUGGGAAUUGUGCCAAUUGUGAUGCCAAUCAGGUGAAGGAGAA